GUGUACUUCCUGUCCCUCAGGUCCAUCUCUCCAGUCUCUCCGUGUUCUCCAACUUUCCCGUCUCGAAGAAGAAGAUUGUUUAUCGAGCGAGCUGCGUCGACUUCUCUCCGCACAGCGGCUUCUUCUCAUUGGCUAACAACAAAGGACACGCCCCUCUCUUCAGGUUGCUGCAUUAUAAAGACUUCUAAAGGAACUCUGAAGAACCAGGACCAGGACCAGGACCCGUCUGUUGUAUUUUAUUGUGGAGCAGCAGAGAGGAUGAUGGGAAACCAGAUUAUUUACCGUAUUUUCUGUGCAGUGAUUGUAUAAAAGAUCUAAAACAGUU